rnacentral:rRNA from 1 species
AACGAACGCUGGCGGCGCGCCUAAUACAUGCAAGUCGAGCGAGAAGGUGUAGCAAUACACUUGUAAAGCGGCGAACGGGUGAGGAAUACAUGGGUAAUCUACCAUCGAGUGGGGAAUAACCAGCCGAAAGGUUGGCUAAUACCGCGUACGCCUCCGGAUCUUCGGGUUCGGAGGGAAAGCCACACUGUGAGUGCGGCGCUCUUUGAUGAGCUCAUGUCCUAUCAGCUUGUUGGUAGGGUAACGGCCUACCAAGGCUUUGACGGGUAGCUGGUCUGAGAGGACGAUCAGCCACACUGGCACUGCGACACGGGCCAGACUCCUACGGGAGGCAGCAGUAAGGAAUAUUGCGCAAUGGGCGAAAGCCUGACGCAGCGACGCCGCGUGGGGGAUGAAGGUCUUCGGAUUGUAAACCCCUUUCGGGAGGGAAGAUGGAGCGAGCAAUCGUUCGGACGGUACCUCCAGAAGCAGCCACGGCCAACUUCGUGCCAGCAGCCGAC